rnacentral:rRNA from 1 species
AUGGUAUUUUGGAACGUGCGUGGCCUAAAUACCCCGGCCAAGCGCACCGCCGUCCGCAGCGUGAUCACCGCUGCUUCCCCAUGUAUCGUUUGCAUUCAAGAAACAAAGAUGAUUUCCCUUUCGUCCUCGCUUGUCGCUGAGAUGCUCGGCCCGUCCUUUUCCGAGUUCUUCCUUCUUCCCGCUGAUGGGACA